ACCCAGCUAGCUCAGUCGGUAGCGCAUGAGACUCUUAAUCCCAGGAUCGUGGGUUUGAGCCCAAUGAUGGCAG